AAAACAUUUGACUUGCAAUCAUAAAACCUAAGUUUAACCCUUAGAACUCACA
rnacentral:tRNA from 1 species